rnacentral:rRNA from 1 species
GUGCCAGCCGCCGCGGUAAUACGUAGGCAGCGAGCGUUGUUCGGAGUUACUGGGCGUAAAGGGUGUGUAGGCGGUCCUGUAAGUCUGGUGUGAAAUCUCCCGGCUCAACUGGGAGGGUGCGCCGGAAACUGCAGGGCUAGAGUGCGGGAUGGGAGAGUAGAAUUCCUGGUGUAGCGGUGAAAUGCGUAGAUAUCAGGAGGAAUACCUGUGGUGUAGACGGCUCUCUGGACCGCGACUGACGCUGAGACACGAAAGCGUGGGUAGCAAACAGGAUUAGAAACCCCCGUAGUCC